CGGCGUAUUUGUUGUUGUAAGUGCUUGUAAGUGUUCUGUAGUUUCCAUGUCCGUGCGUGACGUGCUGCAGCGCUUCAAGUAUGUCAUUAGCUGUGAGAAUUUCAACGUAUCUCUGCACAAGUGUCAACACUUGUGAGUGCCAGCUUGAGGAGGUAAUUGUUAACGCCUUGUAAUGCGUAGUGUCAGUUUUGUUUUUCAUUGUGUCGCAUGCAGAGUCUGUCUAAGCACGAUCAGAGGCAACUUCUAGGUAGGUGUUGAAAUGCUAAAACACACAUAUUCGUGUCUGACAUACAAACUUUCCAACAGUGCGUAAAUAGUGAGCUCUGGCAAUGCGAAAAUUAAGUUCGAGACCGCGUGGAAACGCACAUGCCAGGCCUCUUUCCCUUCAUAUUUCGAAGUUCACCAAGUGAAGUCACGUACGGCUUGCGUCAUUUGGGUUAUACUAUUGUUCGAUAUUUCCUGGGACACAAAUUCACGUAUCUGUAUGCCCAAUAUGGGGAUAAGUCGACUUAUCCCCCUUUUACUCAUUUGGCUGCAGAGACAUAGAGUGUUUGCUCUAACGUGUCCAGAAAUUAUGUUUAAAGCGAGCGAUAAAAGAAAAGCAAGUUGUACUUUUCUGCUACUUGAGUAAGAAACAGGUAGUACUGCUUCACUAGUAGCACCUGUUUCUUAGUCAAGUAGCUGAAAAGUAGCGCUCAUUUCUCUUUUAUCGCCGUCCACCUUCCUCAUGAAUAGCCUGAAGUCGGCGUUGGCCUUGUAUGUCGACACCAACCCCAGGCCCUGUAUCUUGCGGUAAGUGCUCUGUCACCAGUGGAAAAAAUAACACCUCGUCUUCAUGUCUUUGUGAAGGACACCCCACGGCAUUGAUGGCUGCAGGAUCAAAGUUCACCGUGACUUCUUCCGGGUCUGGGGUAACACCUGUUCACAUGCGUUCACUGUUGCCCUCAGGAACUCUUCGUAGGUUUUCCUUGUCUUGCUUACCAUGAGGGCGAAGACUGCUGGAACUACACUCUGCCCCAAAGACAAACCUAUGGCCCCUGUGAACAAGGUAGAUGACCUAAGUGAGUUCUUUGACCACUUUCACGGGGAACGUUCGCUGAAACAGUGAACCUGGCUUGGGUUUUCCCCAUGACACAAUUUUCUGUGCUACGGUUCUACGACUAAAUACCCUUACUUCAUCUCGGGGAGCCCUGUAUAUGGAAACUUGCGCCAACAUACCCUCGUCAUCGAUAGCACUUUAUUUAGCGAAGGAACAUGCUCUAUGGUUGUUCAAGGUACAGUGGCAGGAUGAAGACCCACGGGUAUCAGGUAGGCUUAACCACAGCAGUUACUGUUGAAAGGUAGGGAAAUUUCCAUGUCUGCCUCCAUGUUUUGUAUGUAUACAAUGUGUAACUCGGUGUCCAAGACAGUUGUAACAAAGCAGCUCGUAACCUGAAUGAUGUGUGGCAUCACAGGGACAUAUCGUUUGCGUGGGGAACCAUUUGGUUGAACUACUGUCAAUGCUUGCUGCUACCUAUCUGCAUAACUAACACACUGCUUACUGAAAGGUGUCACACCAUUUUGCAGUGAUACAGAUAUGUGGAAAAAGAAAACGUGGUACGAACACUAUGGUAUGGUUAGGCAACAUCACAGCUUAGUGCAUUUACAAAAUUGGCAACAGCAACAGUAAAUGAUGGAAAAGUGAUGAGGACAUCGGAUGUUUCCCCCAUGAUAGCCACGGGACCCUACCCAACAAGACUGAAGUAUGCGUGUAUACCUGCCAACUUCUCGAUUAUGCGGGAAACUCCUGAAUUUUCGUUCAGUCUCCCGAUUUUAUGGACUCACCCUACAAUCUCCCAGAAAACUGGGGCCUUGAGCUUUUCUUCGCUCGUUUUCAUUUAAAAAAUGGGUCAACGCAUUCCUGAAGAAUUACAUAGCCUGUAACAUGUGUUUCGCGGCAUAGCCACACAUGGCUGGAGGUCACGGCAGAUAGUGUGUAUCAUUGUGUCCGUGUUUCUCGAGAUGACGUGCUAUCUAUCAUCCUCUCGUCAGUCCAGCCUCGUACAACAAUAGUUUGUCUUCUCCGAUGGCGUUCUCCAAACAGAAGAAAUAUCUGCACAUGUUCCUCAUACGUGCCAAGUGCCUUUUCACGGGUAUUCUGUUUGAGCCCAACCAGUGUGGAGCAUAAGCAACCAUGCUCUUCUGGAAGAUGUUCCCAAAAUGUCACGAAUGGAAGCGCCAUUGGUGUGGACGGACGAAGCCCACUGCCAUCAUCGGUGAAAUUGCUGCGGCAGCACAAAAUGCAAUGUUGGAGAGCCGGAGAUGACGCGUCUUUGCAAUUUCGGUUGACGGAAGCAACGAGAGGGGGUCGCAGCUCCACCCGAUAGUGGCUAUGUAUGACGUAGAUGAAUCUCAAUACAGUGGCAUCCAAAAUUAAUGCCCCGGACCUCCUUCCAUCAUGCUGGGGGCAGUCCUCCGAUCUUGAAGUUCGUCAGGUUGGCAGGUAUGCGUGUGCAAAUUUGGGAAAUGUCAGCAUAGUCGAAGACACAAAGACAUCCUACUAUCUAAAUGGUGUCACUUGUGCCUCCUUUCUGCAAGUGGCACUCUCUUCUGAACAGGACAUUCAGUAUCGGGGAGUCACAGGUGGUGCCAUUAUGCUCCAUCUAUUUAGCUAUUUCACGUGUGUGGCGAAUAUCACAACGUGUAACAACGUAAUGGAGAAUGUUGUUGACGAUGCCAGUCGAACUGUGUUUUUUUGACUGUUCAUGUGAGCCACGGGGGCUUGUCAACCAGUUCAUGUUAUUUAUGGGGCGCUGCACCUGCACCCCUCACUGGAACGUCCCCGAAUGGGUCAGUGUAACCUGAUACCCAAAGCAACGUCUUCCGAGAGGCGCGUCUGGUCACUGUUUCUAGUGCCUCUGUCUCUCCCUUCUUUUUGUAAAUAAAAUAGUCGUCUCUUUUCAAAGCUACGAAGUGGUCGUGUGUUUUCUGGUCUCUGCGAAGUUCGGGCGCCCCCCGACGUUUGUGUUCGACGGACUUACACGUGCUACAACGCAAGGACUGACACCCAUACAGAGGCUGAGUGCCCCAAAACUGACAGCAUUGCCCUAGUUUGCUGAGAUAUACCUCAAAAGGCAACUUCAGUAAACCAACAUGUAUUGAAAGUGUUACUUCUUCGUGUUCGUUCACUCAUGCAUUUGUUGCAAUCGUAGCCAGCUUUUAUAGAUGCAGGAAAUUUUGAAGUAAAAAUGAUUAAGUUAAUAAUGUUCCACAUGAUCAUUCUGCAGGCAUAGGACACAUGAUCUUUCGUGCAACACAAAAACUAAAACACCACGAAUCACAUGUUAUCUUUUUCAUCAGUUCGUGGUCAGCCCUGAACUGGAUCCUCGAAUUAGUUAGUGCCCGCAAAUGAAAUAUAGAGUGUAUUGUCCACUUGGCUACUCCAGACUUUAUUUUGUAAUUACCUAUUGUGUGUUCAGGCUUGUCGACGCUGACCAUGUACUUUGGUUGUAGUCGAACUUCUACAUGACGAAAUUGCAAAUGUUGGCAUUUUAAUUCGUUAACUAGGGGACUUUGUUAAACCGACCACGCAAAAAAUUAUUUUUAAAAAAAGCACGGCUGAUCCACCGAUACGUGUAGUAGAAUGCGUAAGUCGCCAUAAAACAGUCCUCCACACUGAAGGACAAACAAAUGGCAAAUUAAGGAGUCACAUUAGCAAAUAACACGUGCAGUAAAAGCUCGUUAAUUUGAAUCCCAUGGGGAUGCAAAAAACGUUUGAAUUAAACGAAGUUCGAACUAAUGAAAAGCAAAGAAAAAUAGUGGAAAACAGCACUGGUGAGAUAAGUAAAGCUUACAACUUUUAUUGAUGAAAAAAGUCAGUGAUUGUUUGCUGCUUCUGCACUCGAAAACUGAACACCAUCAGCUUGCACUCCAAAACACGAAGAUGGUGAAGAGCGUCCUCUUGGCCUUCUUCAUGGCUGAAGAAUUGGCGGGCAACAUUAAGUGGUUCCAAAACUUGUGAUGGGGAUGGCCGCGCCGUAGUUUCUUCCACCUCUUCAUCGUCUCGUUUUCUUCGUCCGGUUCUUGUCGCGCCGACACUUCCGCUACGAUAUCUUCAUCGCUGCGGACACUGCAGACCGCCGCAGCGCUAUCCGCGUCAACGUAAUCGGUGAAGCACACGCCUUGCAGUGCCUCAUGCAUGUCUGCUGGAAUAUUCUCCUCAUCAAACACGUCAUCGGUUAAUUCCUGCAGACAUGUGUCCCGAGCAGUGGAACAGCUUGGGGUGAUGAAGACACAGUGGCGGGAACAGUUCGCGAUGGUCAAUGGCACGACUUGGUCCCACGCACGUGCCAGCAUGUGCAACGCCGAAAGCAGAGUCACGGCGUUGCUUGGACCGCACAGGAUCAAACGCUCAAGCAUAUGACGUCUAUAAAACGUCUUCAUAUCCUUGAUCACGCCCUGAUACAUCGGCUGCAACGCUGCUGUCGUAUUUGCCGGAAGGAAAGCCAGUUCGAUAGCUCUCAGCUCGACGUCCAUCUUGUGCGGCGUACAAUUGUCGACGCUGAGGAGAACCCUUCUGUUUCUCAAUUCAAGCUUCCUGUCCCACGUUUUUAGCCACUGCUUAAACAGAUUGGCGGUCAUCCGCGCUUUUUUGUUGGCAGCAUACUCCGUUGGCAGCGUUCGAAUGUUCUUAAAGCACCACGGCUUUGACGACUUGAUCACGAAAAGGGGAAGCUUUUCCGUCCCAGUCAUGUUUGCAGCCAGCCUUACUGCGCUUUCCACCCGUGCAGCUGUCCCCUUUAAACGCAAUCGUCCCGUCUGGCAAAAGUUUGAAAAAUAAAGCGGUUUCGUCGGCGUUAAAAAUAUCAUCCGGCGAAUAUUUCCUCAAGAACUCCUGCAGCUGUUCAUUUUUCCACAACGUACACGUUUCCGCACUAACGUCGCCACGUUCGCCGCAUACAGCCUGGAAGACAAGGUCAUGCCUCUCUCGAAAUCUGUGGAACCACCCAUCAGACGCUGCGAAGUCCUCGAUGUUCAAGGGAAGUGCAAAGUCCGCUGCCUUUGCCAUUAUGAUAGGCCCGCUCAGGGGAAUGUCCUGGCUCCUCAUCUCCUUAAUCUAUGUGAUCAAAGCAUUCUCCAUUUCGGGAUGUUUUGCAAGUCGAAGUCUUUUCCUUUCGGGGGUGAAACCCUUACCUUCGUAGGUGUCUUCGAUGGCUUUGCGGUUACGGAUGUACGUCGACAACAUGCUUUUUGGUAUGCCAUACUUCUUCGCUAUGUCGCUCUUGCUUAUCCUUCCAGCGUCGAUUUCACGCAGAAGGACAUCAGCAGCUGUAGGCGUUGGCUCUUUGUCCGGUCCAUCGCUUUCGACAGUGUCCCCGUUGUCCCCCGGGUCACGCACUGAGUCCACGACGUCGUCGUCGUCGAGCUCCUCUGUAGCUAAGACACAACUGUCACCGUUGAUGUAGUCGGAUAGUUCCAUGCCCGCCGGCACUGCACCCUCCCAGUCCAUCAGAGAUUCCCAUGCCUGAACGAGCCCAGGUUGCACAGUUUCAGUUUCUGCUGCCGUUUCCUGCUCGCAGAGGCCAAGCCCGGCCUUUCGAAAGCAGUUCGCGAUGAUCACCACUCCCGUUGAUUGCCACGCAGCUGACAGCAUCUCCACCGCAUGGGAGGCUUCCACUUUUGUGGGCAAGUUUAACCUCAGGUUUAGGAAGAACCUGUCGAUCAGGCGACGCCGGUACGCAAACUUUGCACUGUUUAUUACGCCUUGGUCCAAAGGCUGAAUCAACGAUGUGCAGUGUGCGGGAAAGAAGUGCACUUGCACAUUGCUUAGUUCCAGACCCUGAAAUGUGAUGCACCGAACAAUUGUCCACAAGCAGGCACACAUUUCUUCUCUGGUUCUUCGUGUCGUUGUUGAGCUCAUUCAGCCAUUCUACGAAAAUGCUGCUCGUCAUCCACGCUUUAGUGUUCUCCACGUACUUUACGGGGAUUCUUGCAGCAUUUUUGAACGAUCGUGGUCUUGAACUUUUCCCGAUAACAAGCGGGACGCGCUUGUCGCUGCCAUCCAUGUUAGUGCAGAGCAAAACCGUGAGAUGCAGCUUGCUUUGUUUUCCACCAUGGCAGCGGUCACCCUUAAAGGGACGGUCUCGUAUCCCCUGCCCCUUUCAUAAAGUGUACCAUUCGAUUGCCCUUUGUUGAAAAUGGAAUACUGCUAAUUUACCCGACACAACACGCCACAGUUAUUAAAUAACCGAAUUAAAUUGAUGAAGAUUGCAGAGCAUGCCGCGAUCUGUGUUGGCAACAAUAAGAGCAGCCACGUCGCCCUGCGGGUAAGUCCGUGAUAGGAUACAGAAAUCGUUUGCUUUUGUGCGCACUAGUGCAUCGGCGAGAGCAGAUGACUUUCAGAAGUUACUGGGCACCGCGGCAACUCUCGUACAUUUUCUUUCAGUUCUCAGGUGAAAAACGCACAUUCUAAGAAGUGGCAACCAUGGUGGUUUAGAACAACUAUGUUACUCCUCAGAGACAAGUUAAAAGUCGCAGGACAACCCCAUCCACAAUCACAAAUCUGAAGUCGCCGGCCAUCGGCGCGCGCGGUCGCAUUACAGCUCCGACCAAAAAUAUAUUACGCGCGCUUCCAUUACACUCCCCGUUGUACAUUGAUCAUGCUUCGAAAUGAAAUGUCGCUGACGACAUAUAUGGAGAAGGAGUGCGUGUUUAUUUAAAAAUCGCAUUAAAUACUCGCGGAAAAAAAACAUGUGACCUAGCUUCCACGUAUCCGAUUAUGCGCCACAUUAUCAGAGACCCCACAGUCAAUGCUCGGACUACAUUCUCCGCUCGUGGAGGUAUAUGCCUGAGUGUCCCCAUUUUGAGAGCAAAGGGGAUGACUCAACCCAAGGUGCUUCUGCAAGUUACAAUUACCAUGAUAACGACGACGUACCCGCAAGCCGACGUCAUACGUGACGUAUGCAUGAGAGAAGCGCGGCUUUCGUCGUCUGCUAUUAUGGCACGUUUUGACAAAUUCCUCGAAAACGACUUGUUAUUCCGAAUGAAACUUUGACUGCUGUAUGUGUACAGUACUCGUGAAGCUAGUUUUGGCUAAGUUUCGGAAUCGCCCCGGCUGUACGAGACCGUCCCUUUAAGCGCCAGAGUCAUUCUUCCGUAACAUUUGAAAAAACAGGCCUGUUUCGUCGGCAUUGUAGAUGUCGGAUGGCUUGUAAGUCGCCAUAAUUUCUGGCAAGCGAUCUUUACGCCAUGCCGAUGCCUGUUCAGUAUCCGCGGCGUGGCACUCUCCACUUGCGGUCUUGCCAACGAUCGUAUGCCGCAUUUUGAAUUUCUGCAACCACCCGGUGCUUGCUUUGAAAUCAUCGCAUCCAAGCAAGCAUGCGAAGUCUCUUGCGUUUUGUUGAAGGACGGCACCGCUGACUGGAAUGUUCUUCGCACGUAUCUCCGUGAACCACUUGAAGACAGCCUUGUCAACGUCCCCGUAGGUCGCUGCCUUCAACUUCUUGCACUGGCCGCUGCAUGACCUGGAACGCACAGCUUUCAGGACGUCUUCCUUGGACUUGAGUAUCGUGGACAGCGUGCUUGGAGGGACGUUGAAACAAAUUGCAACAUCCUUUUUCUUUUCCCCUUUGGACACCGCAUCAAUCAUCGCGACUUUGUCAUCCAGUGUCAAAGCUUUGCGUUUCUUACUUGCACUCAUGACAACACGUAACGACGCAACCACCACGACACAGCACAGACGACGAAAUGUCGUGAAAUGGGUAACCACGUGUCUUUUUCCUUUCGCUAUCGCACACCACAAUAGAAUGCCACGCCUACAUCACGUGGAAACACCAAUAACCAAUGAGAACUCACGUGAGGUCAGCGUCAAAACUCCUCCCUUCUCCUGCGCGACGGGGGAAGCGACCAGUGUGGAAGCUUUCCGUUGCCCGCGGCUUUCGUUAAAUGGAGACAACCAAAUGAAGGCAUUUCGUUAAAUAGACUUUAGAAAUGCAUUGAGGUCUAUGGGGACACGUAAAUGUCACAAAAUAUGUACGUUAAAUAGAGGAUUUCGUUAAAUAGACGUUCGUUAUUCGGAGGCUUGACUGUACAAUGAAAUUAUAUUUCGUAGUAUCACUUCAAUAGGUUUCUGUAUUCAUGUAUUGUCCACCAAAGCGUCCCGAAGAUGUCAAGGUGAGCUCAAGGCCGUCAACUGCUGCUUGUUAACGAAAGGAACAUUUCACCCGUGCACGAUGCAUGGCAUCGUGCACUAAAGUGUGCAUGGGUAGCGUGGCACGGAAACAGGAUGGCGCAUGCUCCCUCUUGGAACUCAGUGUUGAUACUCUGAAGUGUAGCUUAUUUAGUGACUCUUGGUACGCUGGCUCUGGCUCGUAUGCUUGUUUACCCAUAUGGUGUCCGAAUAGAUGCAUUUAAGGCCGACCCGCAUUGAGCGUAUUACGGUGGCCUCGUGAUUCGUCUCAUGAAAACCGGCUCUGCCACCGUAUUUCAGCGCGUCUGCGGUGUGACUUCUUCAGGCUUCUUCACACAAUGCUGUGUGGUGGUGGUUCCAGGUGGCAUUUCUUUCAUUACCAUGACACUUCGCCAGCUGCACUUGUAAAGUAUUCCUUGUACAUGUUGCGGGCACCUGCUGUGUCAGUGCUGUAGGUGCGUGCUGAUGUUCGCUGGACGUCGAACAGUGCUGUCCGAUCUUCCUGUUCUAUAUCUCUCCAGGAACCUCUCCUGCAGUUGCCAAAUUCAUCAGGGGUGUCCUCUUCUUCAGUUAGCAACCUCUGAUUCAAGAGGUAGUUGUGGAGGACACAGGAGGCAAGGACAACAUUCUCCACAUUUUCUGGAGACAGGUUGAUGACUCUCAGAAAAAUUCGCCAACGGUUGGCCAGGAUGCCGAAGGCAUUUUCAGAACAUCGCCUAUAGCAUAAUAAAUAAUAACACGUCAGUGAACAUUUUAAAUGGAAAAUUCUGGGUGUUUUACCUUGCAUGGGACAGUCUGUAGGUGAAGAUUGUCUUGUCAGGUGGCAGCAUCUUGCCAGGAUAGGGAUGCAAGAAGUCUUGUCGGAGCUGAAAAGCCUCAUCUAUCAGUACAUGAGGCAAAACAUCAUCAGAGUUUGGCAGCCUUUCAAUUCCGGGCAUUUGCAAUGUGCCAGACAGGAGCCUUCUUCCAAUGGCCGACUCCUUAAACACUGCACUGUCUUCAGCUCUUCCUGGUGCUCCCACAUAAAUCAUCCUGAAGCGGCACUUGCUGUCAACAACCGCCAUCAACACGAUUGAAUAUGUUACGUGAAGGAAUCUCAUUUAGUACCGCAGUGCAACCUGCAUGUACAUUAAUAACCUCCACAUUGUCUUAACUUGUAGUUGUAAAACAUGCUGCCAGAUAUUUUGGGAGCAACGAUUUGGACAUGCUUUCCGUCCACUGCACCCAAACAGUUUGGGAAACUCCAGCUCUGUGCAUACCCAAGGGCAAUCUUCUCCCACUCGGAUUUGGUGGGUGGCUGCACCAUGAAGAGUUUGGAUUAAAACUUAGACCAAUAACAAAGUUUGACUGCUAUUCGAAGUUGACGUUGCCUUCAUCACGAGUGGUUGUAGUGUACUCCACGACACUUUGCAUGUUACGUGGAUGUGCUCACUUGCUGUCACCAGCCCCACUAGGUAGGCAAGUGCGACUUCCUUAAUCUGCAUCCCAGAUGAAAGGAACCUGGACAGUUGAUCCAUGUGUUUCUUGCUAUACCAGUAUUGUGGUUUCAUUAUCUUUAUCUCAAUACAACACAUGCCAAGUAUAUGUCAGAAUAUACUGAAGGAAGUGUUGAGUUUACCGGAUCGUCAUAGCAAGCCUUUCUUGCGAGGAGAUGGGGUCCCUCACAGGAUGCUCUUUGGAUAGAGCACUUUGAACAAGGCGAUGUAGUUCAUCAAACGUGCUCGAGGGCAUCCUGUAAAACUUCUGGAACAUCCUAUUGUCCAUGAAGAAGACCGAGAGACACGGACACAGAAGACGACACACGUAGGUUCUCAGACACAGCAAUAAAUUUAUUGGUUCAUCCCAACUUAAAAGCUAAAAAUCUCUGAAGGGGUGCGAGAGGGAUAAAAGACUCAUUGCUAACUACGUUUCUCCUGGUGGCAAUCUCCAAGGAUUCCCGAAACAACCUUCGGUGUGCGUAGGGUUCCCACGCAAGCACUGUAGUGGUCCUUGAAGCAAGGCUGGCAACCCUUACAAUCCUGUAAAUGAUCUACCAGUUCUGAAGGCUCGGCCAUUCUUUCAACAUUUGCUGCAUGUUCCCUAAUCCGGUCAUUCAGGCACCGGCGCGUCUGGCCAACGUACACAAAGCCGCACUCAAGGGGAAUAGAAUACACAACGUUCUGCUUGCAAGGAACAGAAGGCUUCCUGUGCCUCACGCCACAAGAUUCAGAUUUAGAGCUUAAGGAGGUCAGACGACUUAAUUUAAAGGCAUUGGAAAAAACAACUUUGAUAUUAUAGUAUUUAGCGACAGCAAGAAUGUUGUGAGCAACUGCAUGAAAAUAGGGAAUUACAACUACGUUACGAGAGUUUACAUCAUUCCAUGGUCUACACUGUGAACUUUCAAACAAUUUCAUGGCCCUCUUCGCAAUCAAUUGGUUGUCAUACCCGGCCUGCGUGAGUCUUUCACAUUGCUUCCGCAAACUACUCCAAACAAAAUGAAAACAGCUUUUCUUUGUUGCAGCAUUCAAGAGGGAUGUACAAACACCGAACUUAACAAGUUCAGAAUGUGCGCUUGAGUAGAGCAGGACCGGCUUGCAGUUUUCUUUUCCAUAUGACCAACAAAAACCCGGGUUACAAUGAAAUGUGAGGUCCAGGAACCUCAGCGUCCCAUGAGAGGGUUGCUCUACACAAAACUUUAAGUCUGGUGCUACUGUACUAACAAACUGUAAGGUAGAAUCCACACAUAUAGAACCAGCAUCAGAGAUAACAAUGAUAUCAUGAACAAACCGACGAAUCAAAACACACUUUUGGCUCCCAUAAGCUCCCAUAACUCGUAAGCUUGCUCAGCUCAAUGUCCAACGUAUUUAGAUAAAUUUCUGAUAAGACAGGAGCAACUGCGGAUUCAAUGCAUACACCAUUUUUCUGAACAAACAAACAAUUGUCAACAGAGAUAACAGUAGAUUUCUAGGGCCUGACUUUUUCGGGUUUUCUUUUUGGCCAAAUUCGGGGGGUAAAUAUCGGGUGAUAUUUUUCAUUUGAAAAUUCGGGUGUAUUCGGGUUAAAUCCCAUUACGGCAUAUUCUGUCGUCAGGAAUUCGGGUGUAUUCGGGUGAUUUUUUUUUUGUUUAAUAAAAAUUUGUCUUAACAUGGAACUAAUGUUUAGCAAUGUUAUCAAACUUUAUUUUAAUGCACGCUUAUGAGUGUGCCACGCAACCCGGAUGUUUUCGGGGAGAUUCGGGUUAAACCCGAAUUUUACAGAUUUCGUUCGGGGGGUAAAUAUCGGGCGGAUACGGGUUUAACCCUAAAAAGUCAGGCCCUAUAGAUUUCAAAUAACACUCUAGAAUACUGAGAAAAUCAUCACAGGAAAGACCAACUUCAGACUGAAAAACAACCAACUCAUCUUAAAUCAAAUGUUUGACUGUCCUGAGUAGAACCUUUACGUUCAGCGAGUAAUACAAAUCUUUUAUAUCAAGGGAAAACAUAGUUACCAGAGCACCGUGGAAGGGCUCUAAGCUCUCGAUCAGUUCCUCAGAAUUCCGUAGCGAGAGAGAACCAGGAAGCUGUACAACUUUUAGUCCGCGUUGGAGAAAUUUUGCAACGAGUUUCUGCCAGGUACCAAUUUCACUCACAAUGACACGAAGAGGCAUCUGCGGUUUGUGGUCUUUUAAAAGGAACUUGACCGAUAGCUCAGAGCACUUGCAGUUUACAACAAGUUUGCACAUUUGGUGGUUCGCCUUGGUGAAAAUGCUUACAAUAGAAGACUUGUACUUUUGUAACGAGCCACGAGACGGAGUGAAAAGGUCACCAAUAGCAGAAUUGACCUUGUUCAAGUAUAUUGCACUUGGCAAAACAGCAAAUUUACCAGACUUAUCACAUUGAAGCAACAUGGCGUCAAUGGAAAAAAGUUCAUCCUUAACAUUCCUGAUCUGCUUCAAAUGAGGUGAUGGGCCGUUAGUAUAAGCGGAAGCGGGAAUGCGGGAGAGACAGCGUUCAGUAAACACCAAUUUGUCAGUGCUAUCAGUAAUUUUGGCGGAAACAUGACUUAUGAGCGCUGCAACAUCAAACUUCGUAGGUUUCACAGGCAGGGAGCAUUUCGGGGGCUGGGACAGAACCUCAAGUGAAUUCUGAGAAAUGCUCCCAUCAUAAGGGUUGACCAGUUCAGAAGAAGCACUGCCAGCUUUGCACGUGGGAGGAGCCGCAACCACAAAAGUUUUUUUCUUCGAGCACCACUGCUUAGCAAACUCUGUGCUUUGAAGCUGCGACCACUUUAAGAAGUAUGUCUCUGAGGCAUACCUGUUGCCGUAGAGUAAUGUCCAAAUCUUGGAUGACAGGGUCCUGAGGAUACGAACCUGUCCAACCAGAGUAGACUUGUAGCAGCACAGGAGCUUUAACUUGAGAUGCCACGGAAGUAACAGCUGCGAGCCCAGGAGAAUACCGGGGGGUACAAAUUUGUGCCGAAGAACCAGCUUGAUGAGUGCAAUGUCGGAUUCGACAGAAGCGAUAGCCAGGCCAAGAUGACACAGGGUAUAUAAAGCAGCAUGUUCAAUAACCGAUUUAUUGUCACCACAUUUCCGCAUGGUAUCCAUCUGCAAAUCAUAAGAAAGCCUACUAUGUGAGUAAGCAGUAAUAAUAAGCAAAGCCAGUACAUAAAAUUUGAGUAAGCUAGUAAUCAUGUGAAAAACAAAAAGAAAUGAUGGGCAUAGUUGCUAACAUUGGCUAUUAAGAUUUUACCGAAGAUAAUUUUCAGAGAUGUAGUGUAUUAGAUAUACAUAAACUGUAUGAUAUAAAAAUAGGCUGUCUAUUUGAGAAAUUAGGUAAGGUUCCUCAUCAUAUUCACUCAGAGCACAGAGACUUUUCACGUAGCACACAGAAACACGCUCCAUGCGGGUCGGCCUUUAUGCUUCGUUUUCAGCAAAAUUAUUAUUCCGUAUGUGUGGCGUCAAGACAGGAGGCAUAGAUUCCCGAAGCUGAUCAAACAUUUAUGGUGAUUUCUGUGCAUGAUUUCUUGUAAAUGUCGCCGAAAGUUAGUGACUUGCCAGGAAUUGUGCGAACGAAUUUGUGUGAGUCAGGACGGCGGGUUCCCCGUGCAGAAUAACUGUAUGUGCCUGCAGUCAGCGGCAGUCCACUUGGACGACCUCUCUUCUUUUCUACAGGCUUGUUCGAGAGUAUCAGGCCAAGAGCAGCAUCAACCUGGAAGUUCAUCAUGUCUCUUACUUCCUUCUUGGGGAGACCCUCGGCACUGGCAUCCCUCAGGUAUUCCAACCAUGAAUUUGCCAUUGCUAAGGAUGCAAAAUGGGAUAUCAUCCUCACCGGCCACUUCUUCGUCUUUGUGCGCAAGGGAUACAGUGACAUGACAAAGUCUAGUUUGUCGACACCCCCCAUCUACUUGUUGUAGUCCUGAAUGGCCUGUAUGCUGACAUGCUCCUUUUUUGCUUCGCUCCUCCUCCGCACUUCACAGACAGGAUGGACUCCUACAAGGCUGGAUGCUAUGUUGACGAUGCCAUUAUCCCUCCAGCGCACAAUCACAAUGUCGCCCUCUUUCGACACCCUGCUGUCUAGGGUCCCACAUCGCUCUUUCUUCAUUUCUUUUUCAGGCUUCAGUUUGCAUCCUUGCAGCCGAUUACUUCGUAUGGUUCCCAUUGCUAGGAUGCCCACAUGCUUGAGCUCUCUCAAGAGAGGUACUGAUGGUGAAGUAGUUGUCAAAAAACACUUUGGAGUCAGUGUUUUGGAAGGGGCUGUACUAAACGCAUGACAGCAGAGCCACCAAGGCCAAGAUGAGCAUAGCUUGGGUCCACACCAGUCCCUUUGCCCUGAUACAUUUCAAAGCCAUGGGCUAUUUCGUCCGAGCUGCCCCUCACAAAAACUUUGGCCCCGACGGGAUUGGGCUUUGACUUGAUCGCCUGCUUUGCCACUAUACGUCCUGUAAACACCAGCAUUUCUUCAUCCACGCUGCUUUCAUGAAACACACCCAUGCCUAGGCAUCGUUGACGUACAGCCGCAAGCAGGAGGCGAACCUUCCAAAAUUGUCCUUGCUUGAAGGGUCCCAUAAUGCAUUUGAGCCCGUUAUGUGCAAUGUGUUCCGUAUCUUGAAAAACCUGUUGAUCGACAUUGCAUCCACAAUUGCUGCAAUUCUUGUUGCCACUUUCCAAUACAUUCGUACCCAGGGAAAUUUCAGGACACCCAUGUACCAUCAAUCAUGUACAUCAUGUACUGCAAUAUUCCAAAAAACACCUUGAUUUCUUCAGGUGUGCAUGAGAGCUCCUCACCAUUUUUCUGGAGACUGUACAUGUUUAUGUACGUUGCGAACUCACUGAAAGUUUGGUCGGUGAAAUACUGUGUGAAGUAGCUCAAUGGCUCCUCUGGCACAGAGGUAGUUGGAGGGGGUAGUGGCAGUAAGUGCCCACAGGUUGGAACUCCUUCCGUGUCCACGUCACAGACGCUUUGGUUUUUUCCGGCUGUGAACAAGGUGGUUCCACGUCCUCAACUUCUUGGUCAUCAGUUGGUGCGCUUGGCUACUGGUCAUCAGUGUUACCCUGUAAAUGUUCCUUUAGUUAGCAACGGAUUCAGCAGCAAAACGUAAUGCACCUACAGCAACUGUGAUGUCUGUUUCAUCCUGCUCGUCAUCGGAAAGGUUGUCGUCUGUCACGGCACCUGCAGCAAUGCUUUCGGGAAUACUUUCUGCUGUAUCAUGCAGAACGUCUCUUGGACAUGAUCCACAAUGUGCUUGUAUGCCUAAAAAUAAAAAUAAUAGUCACUGUAAAAGCAAGUCAAAGCAGUUGGAUGAAACUGGCACUUUGAUAUGCGAGCGCAGGACAGAUGGAGCCGAUCACAAUGUGUACGAAUGGACACGCGACAGAUAUGCGUGGAAGUAACAGUAAAACAACUAUGACACUUUAAUAAUUCUGCACUAGAAAUGUGAACGGAGGCUUUAUGUAUCUAAAACUGUGCAGAGAAUUCUCAAGCGACACGUGAAAAUUCAUUGAAGAACAACAGAAAAGGCACACUUAUGCGGCGUGCCAUAGAAGGUGGAGGCAUCCAUCUUACAUUCGAAGUUCCGAUGGCAGUUUGCAAAGAAGAUAUCAGAUGGCGCACACAACGUUCUCUUCGGUGUCUACGCUUGUAGAUAGCAUGACUCAAACGUGCCAAACAGUUUUUCCGGGCUAGAAAACUAUACCGAAGCUUCCCGUGCACAAACGUGCACGCCAUGCCUCAAGGGGUUGUUGUUGUUAUUAUUAUUUAUUCCAUCCUUAUUCCACCCUUGUAGGCCAUUACCUGAGGGUGUGAGUACACACUGCAUUGCAAACAUCAACAUUAACCAGGAGAAGAACAAACAAACAAUACAGUAACAGCAAUGAUGUGGCACAAGAUGUGUCUAGUAGUGGAAACAGCCAAGGUGCUAAAGUAAAGGAAAAUGGUUUAUAGAUGUAUACAGGGAGGACAAUGGUGAAGUGAAUAUAACUAUUAAUGCAUUCACAAGCCGGCUGUGGUCCAUAGGUUCUGCAAUAGGAUGUUGGAGGUUAUUCCAAUCUGAUGUCCUUUUGCCUCAAAUGAUGUGGAACGUGAGCGAGCUAGGGGUGCCUUAUGCUGGUGGUCAUCGCGUCGGGAGCGAUAGGAUGAUCUGUGAACGUAACUGCUGUGGAGCACGGGGGAGUGGUAGAACUUGUGGAAUAAUAACCGUUGAACCACGCAGCGUGUGAUCAGGUCGGUGGGCUCGGCCUGGUUCUUGAGUGAAGUCACACUUGUGUGAGGUGAACAGUCUUUAAAAAUAAAUUGAGCAGCGUGAUUCUGCAGAGCUUCAACAUUGUUCGAGAGAUAAGCAUGGCAGGGGCUCCAUAUGGUGCUAGCGUAUUCGAGCUUGAGGCGGAUGAGGGUGAGAUAAGCCAGCCGCUUUAAGUGUGAAUGUGUGUGAGCAAUGUGGGGGGGGGGGGGGGUUGUCGUAAAUACCAGAGAUUAUGAUUUGCGUUAGAGAGUAUGUGCAAAAUGUGUGUGUUCCAUGUUAGGUAAAAUAAACUGCUUAGCAGGAACAUCUCUGGAUGAGGAUCUCUCGUGCCUGUCUGCCAGUCAUGGAGUCCUGUACGACAUCCACAGGAGGCAGGUGCGCAGGCUGCUUAGUCUUCUGAGUCCAGCAGCUGCGCCUCUGGAGGAGUGCUGUCGAGCUGGGAGUUGCUGCUGGGUCUGGCUCCUUCCUCAGGCAUCCCAGAUUAUGUAAAGUUGUAAUGACGCAUGUGGCACAGCGAGGCUUGUGCUGCAGCCGCAUGUCAAGGCGGGCCACAGUGAGUCACUGGAGGCAGUGCUGCAGCACCAACGAUCACUCAUUGGCAGAAAGGAAUGAGAUGGCCAUCAACACCCUGCUGCCAGUUCAACACUCCUCAGUCAAAACACAAGACUCCUGCUUGGCAGCGAAGUCAAUCCAGUUUUAGACUGAGUUUUGUACCAUAGACUUCGUGCGUGGUUUACUGUGAAUAAAUGUUCAUGCUGA